ACGGGUGAGUAACACGUAUCCAACCUGCCGCUUACUCGGGGAUAGCCUUUCGAAAGAAAGAUUAAUACCCGAUGGUAUAAAGAGUUCGCAUGUUCUCUUUAUUAAAGAAUUUCGGUAAGCGAUGGGGAUGCGUUCCAUUAGAUUGUUGGCGGGGUAACGGCCCACCAAGUCUACGAUGGAUAGGGGUUCUGAGAGGAAGGUCCCCCACAUUGGAACUGAGACACGGUCCAAACUCCUACGGGAGGCAGCAGUGAGGAAUAUUGGUCAAUGGACGAGAGUCUGAACCAGCCAAGUAGCGUGAAGGAUGACUGCCCUAUGGGUUGUAAACUUCUUUUAUAAGGGAAUAAAGUGAGGGACGUGUCCCUUUUUGUAUGUACCUUAUGAAUAAGGAUCGGCUAACUCCGUGCCAGCAGCCGCGGUAAUACGGAGGAUCCGAGCGUUAUCCGGAUUUAUUGGGUUUAAAGGGAGCGUAGGUUGACAUAUAAGUCAGCUGUGAAAGUUUACGGCUCAACCGUGAAAUUGCAGUUGAUACUGUAUGUCUUGAGUGUACAAGAGGUGGGCGGAAUUCGUGGUGUAGCGGUGAAAUGCUUAGAUAUCACGAAGAACUCCAAUUGCGAAGGCAGCUCACUGGGGUACAACUGACACUGAGGCUCGAAAGUGUGGGUAUCAAACAGGAUUAGAUACCCUGGUAGUCCACACAGUAAACGAUGAAUACUCGCUGUUUGCGAUAUACAGUAAGCGGCCAAGCGAAAGCAUUAAGUAUUCCACCUGGGGAGUACGCCGGCAACGGUGAAACUCAAAUGAAUUGACGG
rnacentral:rRNA from 1 species